AUGAGCUUUGAAUGGGAGGACAUUUUUCCUUUGGUCACAAUUCGUAAACUCGUGAGGGAUGUUUCGGACCACAAUCCACUUCUUUUGUCCUCGGGAGAGGAGAGACAAAAUAAGCCUAAUCAACACGAGUUCAGGUUUGAACUUAACUGGCUGUGUGACGAAAGCUUUUACCCCAUUGCCAAGGAGAUUUGGGAGCAACUUGUCUGAACUGACGAUCCUAUUGAUAUUCUUAAUAUCAAACUGAAACGCCUCAAAAAAUACUUUAAAGGGUGGGGCUCGAACAUUUUGGCCAUACCAGGAAGAGAAAAAAAGAAAUAA
rnacentral:rRNA from 1 species